CAUGCCUGUAAUCCCAGCUACUCGUGAGGCUAAGGCAGGAGAAUCGCUUGAACCUGGGGAGGCAGAGCUUGCAGUGAGCCGAGAUUGCGCCACUGCACUCCAGCCU